rnacentral:piRNA from 1 species
UAAGCUAUGGAAGAUUUCUCGCUGAUGUU